rnacentral:lncRNA from 1 species
GAAGCAAUCUGAAGGUACAGGAUGGCUUCACACUUGGCAGCGUGAAUUUCCAGCAGAGCAGGACAGUUCUACGCAUUUACUUGGCAAACAAAGAAGCAGGAGGCACUGUGUGGGGCUGAUUCCUCAAGAGGAAGGCAACAUCAUUGCACUGGAUAAUGAUGGCUCUGACCCUCCGAAUCUUUCACAAUCUGUCUACAUAUUUCUCUUAAGAACUGUUUCCCUCCCAACUGAAAUCUACUAAACCGCUCUCCGAUUUCCUUAAAAUGAAGACGGGUGUGGCCAUAGCCUCCUCCUGCUGACUCUGCAAAACCCCAACCAGGACUGAGGAGAGCAAGCAAGAGCCUGUGUUUCCAACAGGGUCCAGAUACCACAGUUAUGAAUCUUCCAGCACCCUUGAUCUUCACCCUGAACACUGACAUUUCACACGAUGUUCUUUUAAAUGUUCAAAAACACGGCUGGGGUACUUGAAAGAAUGUCAUACCUCCCCCUAAGAAAGUGUGACAUCAGAUAUGCUUUUGGCACAAUGUUAAAUGAAAACAAAAAAGCAAAAUAAUUAAAUUCUAAACUGCGAUGUAGCAAAGACAGCAUUGGCUUGGAAAUGAAAUGCACCUUGUAAGAAGAUUCGUCUUCAGUAGAAUUUUUCCUUCUUUUUUUUUUUUUUUGGUCGUUUGUCCUUUUAGGGCCACACCUGCGGCACAUAGAAGUUCCCAGGCUAGGGGUCCAGUUGGAGCUAUUGCUGCCAGCCACAGCAACACCAGGUCCAAGCCAUGUCGGCAACCCACACCAGAACUCACAGCAACGCCGGAUCCUCAACCCACUGAGCGAGACCAGGGAUCGAACCCGCAACCUCAUGGUCCCUAGUCGGAUUCAUUUUCAUGCACCAUGGCAGGAACUCCCUCAGUAGAAUUUUAAUUCUUCAUUUCAGUUGUAAAUUGGCAUUAUAUUGACUAUAUUGAAAAUGAAGGUCAUCCCAAGUUUUGUGUCACAUAUGAAAUCUAACUCAAACUUGACUUUUUUCAGAACUGCAUAAAGUGGAUCAUAAUUUUACCAUCCCAGAAAGCAUGAAGUUAAUGCAUUUGACAGGCUUCUUGUGCCAUCUGCAGUAAGGGGUACAUAUGCGUAAUUCCUUAAUUUAAAAAAUUACAAGUGAUAAUAGUACCUUGCUUAUUGAAGCACGUAAGUCCUCAAAUUUCUCCUCACAGAUGAUCAAACCCAGCACCGUGUAUGAUUACUCAAUACCAGCCCACAUCAAUCCCCACCACUGAAAAUCAACUGCAAGUAUUGUCCCGUUUCACAAAUAAAAAUAUCUGCCAAGAAGAUUUAGACAGACAUUUCUCUAUGGAAGCCAUACAGAUGGCCAAAAAAACACAUAAAAAGAUGCUCAGCAUCACUUAUUAUUAGAGACAUGCAAAUCACUACUAUGAGGUACCACAUUACACGAGCCAGAAUGGCCAUCAUCAAAAGGUCUACAAACAAUAAAUACUGGAGAGGGUGUGGAGAAUAGGGAACCCUCUUACACUGUUGGUGGGAAAUUGGCGAAACCACUAUGGAAAACUGUAUGGAGAUUGACAACCAUUAUGGAAAACUGUAUGGACAUUACUCAAAAAACUAAAAAUAGAAUUACCAUAUGAUCCAACAAGCCCACUACUGGGCAUAUAUCCAGAGAAAACCAAGACUUGAAAAGACACAUGUAAUUCAUUGUUCACUGCAGCACUAUUUGCAAUAGCCAAGACAUGGAAACAACCUAAAUGUCCAUCAACAGAGGAGUGGAUCAAGAAGACGUGGUAUAUAUACACAAUGGAAUAUUACUCAUCCAUUAAAAGGAACGAAAUACCAGCAUUUUUAGCAGCAUGGAUGGACCUAGAAAUUAUGCUAAGUGAAGUCAGUCAGACAAUGAGACACCAGCAUCAAAUGCUUUCACUGAAUGUGGAAUCUGAAAAAAGGACACAAUGAACUUCUUUGCAGAACAGAUGCUGACUCACAGACUUUGAAAAACUUAUGGUUUCCAAAGGAGACAGUUUUCGGGGUGGGAGGAUACACUGGGGGUGUGGGAUGGAAAUCCUAUAAAAUUGGAUUGUGAUGAUCAUUGUACAACUGUAAAUGUAAUAAAUUCAUUUAAUAACAAGAAGAUAUGGUACAUACAUAAAAUGGAUUAUUACUCAGCCAUAAAAAAGAAUGAAAUAAUGUUACUUGCGACAACAUGGAUGGACCUAGAAAUUAUCCUACUAAGUGAAGUUAGUCAGAUAGUGAGAGAUAAACAUCAAAAGGUAUCACCUACGUGUGGAAUUUAACAAAAGGAUCAAAUGAACUUAUUUGCAGAACAGCAACAGACUCACAGACUUUGAAAAACUUAUGGUU